AGGAUGAAAGCAACUAGAAGCGUGGGUUUGGAAGAGGCAGACCCGUUGAGGCCAUCUUCCUGAGGUCUGGAAGCAAGGAAGGACUUGGCAGCAGAAUUUGAAAGCUCAAGAGAGCUUCGGAACAGCAGCUCCACAGCCCCAUUUCCAGAUUUGACUUAUGUUAUGUUCGAAUGAAAUGUCUUGCUUCCUGAGUGCUGCUUUGCCCUCCCUUCACCACAGUAGCCACUCUUCUUCCAAAGCCAUCAAGGAGAAUUUGCUUGGUGGUCAAAUAGGCAUGAAGGUCUGGCGUUGCACAGCAUUUUUCAGCAAGAUGGUUGUGUGCAGAAAGCCCUCAGACAACUACCGGAAGGAAGAAACUGAAAAUAAAUACCAUCCAUUGGAAGCUUUGGAUUAUUUGCUUCUGUCUGUUGGGAAUCGACGUAUAAAAUGAAUUGGGAUGCACAGCUGUUUCCAGAAGACAAUUCAAUUGAACAGAACAACUCACACUUCAUAAACAGGCAUCCAGAGCUCUGGGAAGAUGACUCAAGAGCGAGAAGGAAGACCUGAGUUCAACACCCAGAAUCUGCAGAAAUCUGGGCCCAGUGGCACACAGCUGUAAUUCCAGAGCUUGUGGUGAGGUGGGAGGCAGAUGAAGAAUACUAGAAGCUGCAAGGCCAGCUAUCCUGGAGUACACAGCAAGGAAACAAAAGAGACCCAGUCCCAAACAAAGUGAGAGGGCUAAGGACUGAACCCUCAAGCCUCCCUCGGGCUGUCUUGCUGUUUCACAGAGCUCUCAGGCCAAGAGUUCAAAUGCUGCACUUCCAACAGCUCACUAGUGAACUCUGAAGUCAUAUCCCAUGACUAGAGAAGAAUGAAGACAAUUUCCUGUGCAUUUGGCAGCAUAAUUCAGACAAAAGGAUGGUCAACAAGGUAUUUUUAAAAAUGGGGCCUUGAGAACUAAUUAUACUACAGCUUUGGACCAUGUGACAAUAUAAAUCUUUCUGCCUCUCUGAACCUUAGUUUCCUAAUCCACAAAAUUGACUACAUCUGAAUUUGAUAGAACAUACAUGACAACAUUUUCAAACAUGUUAAGGUGCUAUACAAUUGUACAACAAUUAUGAACUAAAA